rnacentral:rRNA from 1 species
UACGUAGGGGGCAAGCGUUGUCCGGAUUUAUUGGGCGUAAAGCGCUCGCAGGUGGUUCGUUGCGUCGUGCGUGAAAGCCCCCGGCUCAACUGGGGAGGGUCACGCGAUACUGAUCGACUCGAAGGCAGGAGAGGGUAGUGGAAUUCCCGGUGUAGUGGUGAAAUGCGUAGAUAUCGGGAGGAACACCAGUGGCGAAGGCGACUACCUGGCCUGUUCUUGACGCUGAGGCGCGAAAGCUAGGGGAGCAAACGGG